rnacentral:rRNA from 1 species
CCCCUAGAUGUUCUGGGCCGCACGCGCGCUACACUGAACAGUUCAACAAGUCUUAACCUUGGCCGAUAGGUCUGGGUAAUCUUUGAACGCUGUUCGUGAUUGGGAUAGACCUUUGCAAUUAUGGGUCUUCAACGAGGAAUUCCUAGUAAACGCAAGUCAUCAGCUUGCAUUGAUUACGUCCCUGCCCUUUGUACACACCGCCCGUCGCACCUACCGAUUGAAUGGUCCGGUGAAAUCUCGGGACGGCGGCUUGGUCGCUUGCGUCCGACUGCUGAAACUUGAUUAAACCAUAUCAUUUAGGGGAAGGUGAAGUCGUANCA